rnacentral:rRNA from 1 species
UACGACUACAUAUCAGGCAUAUCAAUAAGCGGAGGAAAAGAAACUAACUAGGAUUCCCCUUAGUAACGGCGAGUGAAGCGGGAAGAGCUCAAAUUUGAAAUCUUCAAGGGUUCUACCUUGACGAAUUGUAGUUUAAAGAAGUGUUUUCUGUUGGAGUUUUCGGUAAAAGUUCUUUGGAAUAGGACAUCAUAGAGGGUGAGAAUCCCGUAUUUGACCGUAUUUCUUCCAGCUGUGUGAUACACUUUCAAAGAGUCGGAUUGUUUGGGAAUGCAGUCCAAAAUGGGUGGUAAAUUUCAUCUAAAGCUAAAUAUUGGCGAGAGACCGAUAGCGAACAAGUACCGUGAGGGAAAGAUGAAAAGAACUUUGAAAAGAGAGUUAAACAGUACGUGAAAUUGUCAAAAGGGAAGCGUUUGACACCAGUGUUGUUUUCUCGAAAAUCAAUUAAAAAAUGACUCGGAUUUUGUGUUGUAUUGACUUUAUCAGCUUUCUGCACUUUUUUCUUGUCUUUUUUAAUGCACUUUUCGUUUAACAAGUCAACAUCAAUUUCUUUUGUUGUAAAAAGGGUCAUUGGAAGGUGGCUUUCCUUUCGGAUGAAAGUGUUUAUAGCCUUUGACUUCCUGCAAUCGGAGAGAUUGAGGUCUGCAGCGUAGAUCCUUCUUGGAUUAGAUUCAUUUGUGCUAAGUUAUAGCUUUUCUAUAGACAACUUGUUGACUAUAUUUAGUCUUGUAACUUACUCGCUUAUGUAAUUUUACCUACGCUUAGGAUGUUGACGCGCGUGUGUGCGUGC